rnacentral:rRNA from 1 species
UACGUAGGGACCAAGCGUUGUUCGGAUUUACUGGGCGUAAAGGGCGCGUAGGCGGCAUGACAAGUCACUUGUGAAAUCUUCGGGCUUAACCCGGAACGGCCAAGUGAUACUGUCAUGCUAGAGUGCAGAAGGGGCAAUCGGAAUUCACGGUGUAGCGGUGAAAUGCGUAGAUAUCUGGAGGAACACCGGUGGCGAAGGCGGCAUCCUGGACCAAUUCUGACGCUGAGGAGCGAAAGCCAGGGGAGCAAACGGG